rnacentral:siRNA from 1 species
CAACUCACCUGCCGAAUCAACUA